GACGAACGCUGGCGGCGUGCUUAACACAUGCAAGUCGAACGGUGAACCACUUCGGUGGGGAUCAGUGGCGAACGGGUGAGUAACACGUGGGUAACCUGCCCCGAUAACCGGGACAACCCGAGGAAACUCGGGCUAAUACCGGAUGUGCUCGCCGGACUCAGUCCGGCGCGUAAAGGAAGCUUCGGCCUCCGUAUCGGGAGGGGCCCGCGGCCCAUUAGUUAGUUGGUGAGGUAACGGCUCACCAAGACCGCGAUGGGUAGCUGGUCUGAGAGGACGAUCAGCCACACUGGGACUGAGACACGGCCCAGACUCCUACGGGAGGCAGCAGUGGGGAAUCUUGCGCAAUGCGCGAAAGCGUGACGCAGCAACGCCGCGUGAGGGAAGACGGCCUUCGGGUUGUAAACCUCUUUCAGGAGGGACGAAGGUGCGGCGGUGAACAGCCGUCCGCACUGACGGUACC
rnacentral:rRNA from 1 species